GAUGAACGCUGGCGGCGUGCCUAAUACAUGCAAGUCGAGCGAAUGGAUUAAGAGCUUGCUCUUAUGAAGUUAGCGGCGGACGGGUGAGUAACACGUGGGUAACCUGCCCAUAAGACUGGGAUAACUCCGGGAAACCGGGGCUAAUACCGGAUAACAUUUUGAACUGCAUGGUUCGAAAUUGAAAGGCGGCUUCGGCUGUCACUUAUGGAUGGACCCGCGUCGCAUUAGCCAGUUGGUGAGGUAACGGCUCACCAAGGCAACGAUGCGUAGCCGACCUGAGAGGGUGAUCGGCCAAACUGGGACUGAAACACGGCCCAGACUCCUACGGGAGGCAGCAGUAGGGAAUCUUCCGCAAUGGACGAAAGUCUGACGGAGCAACGCCGCGUGAGUGAUGAAGGCUUUCGGGUCGUAAAACUCUGUUGUUAGGGAAGAACAAGUGCUAGUUGAAUAAGCUGGCACCUUGACGGUACCUAACCAGAAAGCCACGGCUAACUACGUGCCAGCCGCCGCAGUAA
rnacentral:rRNA from 1 species